AUGUCGUUGCCUUGGCCGAGCUCUGCUGCAGCGUCGAGGAGCCAAGCAGCAGUAGUCAAGGGCAGGCGGGCCUUGCAGCAGCAGCAACAGCAACAGACGGCGGCAGCGACGACAGGGGAAAAGCCGGGCGCCGGCUCCUACGGCUGUUGCUCUUCUGGUCUACUACUGUGUCAAAGUCAACAGAAUUUAACAGAAAGCACGAUUUCCCCAAUUGCUGUUUUCGUUUGUGGUGAGUGAGCCAAGCUUUUGUAUAGAUCUCUGUUAGUUUUAUUUUAUGAUGGAGAACAUUGAAUGUAUCGGAAUUGUACAAGUUUUUAAAACUCUACUGGUGUCAAUAUCUGUUGUAUUCAUUGGUGUGUUGAUAUUUGUUGAUUGCAAAAAGUUUAAGUGAACAAUGGACAGGCACUUACAAAUAUCCAAGUAAGUAAUGUGAUGUCUCUCAUACAUCUGAUAUAAAGGAACUAAAUAAAAGAGAGGAAAGAGAAAAAUUGUUGCCUGAAAUACUUGCUUUACUUGAAUUGAAACAUUGUUCCAUGUGGUACUGGAAAUUUUACUUUGUUUUAGUUCAUGAGCCUAUAUAAUGUUAUGGCAAUUUCCAAGGACAAAGAAGUACUCCUUCCCCAUUGUUACUGGUGUUUACACACACGGUAUUAAAGCAAUGCAGUAAAUUAACUUCAUAUAUUUUAUUGUGGAAGUGAACUCACAGUAUUUGGGAGGCAUGUGUCAGCCAAGGGUAAAAUAGGGAUGUACCCCUGGGUCAGAAUGACUGAAGAGAUUUGGAGAUUUCAGACACAGUGAAGAUUAUUUUGCUUCCUCCCCAAAUUUAACAUGUCAAUGAGGUGUGUUCUGUGAUAAACACAGUUUAUCAUUUGUCCUGACCAAUAAACAUUUUAAAAGCAGAAAGCAAAGGUAGCCAUAUUGGUGCAUAAAACAAAAAUGCAAAAGUUACAGAAUAGUGUGCAGGGUUUAGGUUUCUUUGGAUGAAGAAUUUUGGAGGCCUCAAAUUUGCCCCACUAUUUUGAGUCGUGUUUAGUUUAGAAGAGAUAUAUAAUAUAGCUGUUUGAUCCAAAAGAACCAAAUGUGCUUUUUUUAAAAAAAAAAAAAAGAAAGAAAAGAAAAAGAAAAGAAACUUAACCAGAUGCUUGGGAAUACCAUUGUUUUUUCAGCUAGAACAAACCAAGCGCUGGUUACCAGUACAGUCAGCCCUCUAUAUCCAUGGAUUUUGCAUCCACGGAUUCAACUAUCCACAUAUUUUGUUAAUUCCAAAAGCGAACCGUGAUUUUGCCAUUUUAUAUAAGGAAUGCCAUUUUAUUAUGCCACCAUAUGAGGCUUAAAUACCUAUGGAUUUUGGUAUCGACAGGGGUCCUGGAACCAAAUUUUAUUGGAUUCUGCAUUUAGAGAAUACUAAAUAAUAGACAGUAUACAAUGCAAAAUACCACCUGGCUGUAUUUCCAAUUGUGUUUCUAUGACAAUUGUGCAUAGAAGAAUGACAUAUUGGAUUAUUCCUUAAACCUAUGAGUUUGUCUUGCUGAGUUCAGACUUUUUGGAUUUAUAGAAAUGUUCUUGUUCUGUGACAUGCUGUUCAGUGUAGGCUCUCCACAGAAAGACUUGCUAGUGAGUACCCUGUUUCCCCGAAAAUAAGACAGUGUCUUAUACAAAUUUUUGCUCCCAAAGAGGCGCUAGGUCUUAUUUUCAGGGGAUGUCUUAUUUUUCCACAAAGAAGAAUUCACAUUUAUGGUUGAAUUAUUAAAAAUGAAAUUGUAUUAUCUACUGUACAGUAGUUGUCAUCACAAACCAGCAUAGCCAAACUGUGAAUCCUUUCGAGAAUUUCUAUAUUAUAUUUUAUUGCUAUACUGUUUUUAAAUUACUGUUUUAAAUUUGUUCGUAUGUAAAUUUAUGUUGUUGUUUUGCUUAUCCCUGUGUAAGCUGCCCUGAGUCCCUUCUGGGAGAUGGAGGUGGGAUACAAGAAUAAAGUUAUUAUAAUAUUAUUAUUAUUAUUUCUUGUUACUACCUUUAUUUCCAUGUACAACAAUCCAUGGCAUGUACAUUUACCGAUCCUGCAUGCUUCCAAACAAAAACUUUGCCAGGUCUUACUUUCGGGGGAGGCCUUAUAUUUAGCAAUUCAGCAAAACCUCUACUAGGUCUUAUUUUCUGGGGAUGUCUUAUUUUCGGGGAAACAGGGUACUUACAAAAAAGCUUUUGUUUCCAAAAGAAUUGCUUUAGGACACUGAAAGAGGUUUUCCUCACAGCUCUGCAGGAUUCUAAUAGGUAGUUGUAGCUUUUACCUUCUAAAGGUUUAUGAACCUCUUAUGGUGUUCAGAUUAUGUU
ensembl:lncRNA